rnacentral:lncRNA from 13 species
GUUGGAACUUCAAGCAUGGAAUGGCUGGAUUCUCUGCUCAGAAACUCAUGAUGCGGCUGAAACCAAGGUGUGCUUGUGGGUAAAAUGAAACUCAGAAUCUUCUUCCAAUUUCUUGUUGAAAUAAUUCAUUUAUAUGCAGUUGGAGAAAUGAGGUUCCCAUUUUACUUGAACUGUUGUAUGAAGGUCAUUUUCAGCAACUAGAGGCUGCCACAGCUCUUUGCUAUGUGGCUUUAUGGGCAUGAGACCUCUGUAGUCAAUCUGACUCCACACUCUGAAGGACUCUAUGCUUGGUUUAAUGCUCUGUUCCUAUCAUCUUGAAAUUAUUUGAUCUUUAAACUCGUGUUUUGUAUUUGAACCCUGAUAGAAGAAUGGGGCAUGUUCUGAGAGCUUGGAACCUCAACUCAUGUCAUUUCCUCUCCCCGUCACUCUCUUUCCAGCAGGGGCCUACAUAGUCAUGAAAUGGGUAAAGUGGAGGUUGUACACAUGUGCACUGAAGUGUUUCAGUGGUGGACGCCUCAUCUGAGUAGGCAGCAUCCAGCCUUGUCAGGUACUCAUCCAGCUAAAGAUUGUGUUCUUGCAAAAGAGAACCUGCAACUUCUGUCUCACCAUCAUCAAUCCAGAGAUCUGAAGAAGUUACCUCUCAAAUAUGCAGCAUGUAAUACAACAGAACAGCACAUGCAUGAAAUUAAAAGCCGGCAAAAGAAUGACAUAAAAGGAUUAAAGAAUUUUAGAGAAUGGUGCCCAGGGUUUACACAGGGCCAGCAUUAGUGCCUGUUCUCUUCACCUAUACCAGAAAAACUCCAUUCACAGAGUGUUGGGUAACAGUAUUCAAGAAAAUCCUGUUUCAGUAACAAUUAGCCCUAGACUAAGCAAUGGAACCUAAAAAACCUAAAAUCAAGACUCAAAAUGAACAAACUUAUUCCAAAUAAGUUUAAAAAAUAACACAACUCAAUAAUAUUAUAGGAAUCACCAGGUGUGCUAUCCAAACGGCCUCUGAGGUCACACAGCAUUUCUUCCACUCUAUUCUGUGGGUUGAAGCAAUAAUAAACUUGAAUGAUAAUCAAGGAAUUGUUCA